GAUGAACGCUGGCAGCGUGCUUAACACAUGCAAGUCGAACGCAUCCUUCGGGGUGAGUGGCAGACGGGUGAGUAACGCGUGGGAACGUGCCCUUCAGUUCGGGAUAACCCAGGGAAACUUGGGCUAAUACCGGAUACGUGCGAGAGCAGAAAGAUUUAUCGCUGAAGGAUCGGCCCGGGUCUGAUUAGCUAGUUGGUGGGGUAAUGGCCCACCAAGGCGACGAUCAGUAGCUGGUCUGAGAGGAUGAUCAGCCACAUUGGGACUGAGACACGGCCCAAACUCCUACGGGAGGCAGGAGUGGGGAAUAUUGGACAAUGGGCGCAAGCCUGAUCCAGCCAUGCCGCGUGAGUGAUGAAGGCCUUAGGGUUGUAAAGCUCUUUCGUCCGGGACGAUAAUGACGGUACCGGAAGAAGAAGCCCCGGCUAACUUCGUGCCAGCAGCCGCCGUAA
rnacentral:rRNA from 1 species